rnacentral:lncRNA from 1 species
AAAAAGUUUACUAUUAAAUUUUAUUUAUGAAAUAUUUUCAAUGUAGUAUUAAAAUAUUUAUAGGAAAAGAGUUUAAAGUUUGAAUUUUUACUUCUCAUGUUAUUUAUUAUUUUUAAGUACAAAACAGAAUUCGUUUUCUCUCUAACACCCAAAAUUAGGGUUCAUAUGCAGGGCUGCUUUUGGUGGUUUUCACAAUUGAAAUCGAGCCCCCUUUGUGGUUAGGAUUUAGUUUGCUUUUUUUUUUUUUCCUUUUUUUUUGUGGAUUCUUGGGUCUAGGCUUCUAAGUUUUCUUGUUGAUGGUAUUAUUAUUAGAACUUCUGUUUCUCUUUUGGUUUUAAUAAUCGAUCAUAGUGGAUCCUUUUUUUGUGCGGUGGUGGCAUGUCCUUUCCUUAGCCUCAAUCUUAUGGGAUGCCAUUUUUUGUUGGGGGUUAAUGAAGGAGCAGAAGAAAAGCUGGCUAAACGGGAGAUUCAUGAGUGGCGAUGGAGGAAUUUCUCUCCUAGUGUUUUGCUUCUUCCGAUUAAUGGCAAGGGUAGAGGCACUGUGAAUGGGGAAUUUCUCUCCUAGUGUUUUGCUUCUUCCGAUUAAUGGCAAGGGUAGAGGCACUGUGAAUGGGUGAUCUCUGCUUUGGCAGAGGAUAUGCUCAAUCCCCUCUUAUAUCUUUUGAGCUUCAAGGUGAUCAAGUUUUGUUGUAAAUGGUGGAAACUAGACCCAAAUCAGUGCAACGUUUAUUUACAAGGCUUGAUCGAGCAGUUCCUGACCAGAGAGGAGGUGGCGGUUGUGGGUACUCUAGGAUUUCUCUCUAAGAUGAAGAUCUUUUCGUUAAGGGGCAAUGUUGUACUUUUCCUUUUAUCUUUGUUAGGCCAUUAGGGCUUUAAGCCCAUAUCAGUAGGUCUUAGACCCAUUUUGAUGUUGGAAACUUUUUAAAAGUACUCUAUAAUUAAUACAUUAUUUGUACUGUGUAAAUUUAUUUACAAAAAUAUUAUUUUUAUAUUUAUAUUUUUAAAUUUGUUUAAAA